rnacentral:tRNA from 1 species
AGUUAAUAAGCUAAAAGCAAUUGUUUUGAAAACAUUAGAUAGAAAAUAAAAUUUCUAUUAACUU